rnacentral:rRNA from 1 species
UACGUAGGGCGCAAGCGUUGUCCGGAAUUAUUGGGCGUAAAGAGCUCGUAGGUGGUUCGGUAAGUCGGAUGUGAAAUCUCCAGGCUCAACCUGGAGGGGUCAUUCGAUACUGCCGUGACUAGAGUUCGGUAGAGGAGUGUGGAAUUCCUGGUGGAGCGGUGAAAUGCGCAGAGAUCAGGAGGAACACCCGUAGCGAAGGCGGCACUCUGGGCCGAUACUGACACUGAGGAGCGAAAGCGUGGGGAGCGAACAGG